GGUCUGAUUUUUUUAGGGGAGAAGAUAGGGGCGGGCGGGGCGCGGCGGCGCUGGACGAGGCGGGGCACGGCGGCGCUGCACGAAGCGGGGCGCGACGGUACGAGGCGACGCGGGGCCGGACGGGGCGAGGCGACGCGGAGCCGGACGGGGCGAGGAGACGUGGGGCCGGGCGGAGGAGCAGCGCGGGGAAGAAAGGGGACAUGACCUAGCCACUGUAAGCGCUGCCCGCACCACCGGUACCGGUGCGGCCGGCCCCACUGCCGCAGCACGGCUGGCACCACUGGCGUAGGCGCUGCGGGAAUUGAGACGACUGACCCAGCGGGAAACCUGCACCUCUGCCACGGCGGGGGCGACUAACCUGCUCGUGGGCUAGACGAGACAAGAUGCGUUGACGAAGACAGGUUUUCGUAGGCUUCCUUCGUCAUCCACCACGUGAUAGGUCAUGUACACCUGCAACAAGUCAUAGAAGAGGUCGUCUUUGAUUGUUCACAGCCCACAUCAAACGAACUUCUUUUAAAGGGACGAGCACCGUAGCUUCGUUGUCUCUUCUUUCCGUAACGAUUUAGUUGAUUCCAUGUUCAUACUUCUACGUAUGAGUCUCUUCCACUCUCGAUGACCAUGUAGAAGUCGUCGGAACUUCGCAGCAGCUCGACUUCUUUAACUUCUACACGCAGUUUUCCUCAGGCUCUUCUGAGCUUUUCGUCUCCGAAUACGGUUGUUACAGAACAGUACCCCACAACCCUACAUGCUCGUGACGUUACACUAUGUUUUCAAAGAAGUCUGAAACCGUUGAUUCGUUCCUCACGGAUAACCUCUUUAUGGUGACGGCGGCCAAGGUGGAGGAAAAGCAAGCGAAAGAGGAGGACCUAGAGGUGUUGCUAGAUGGUAGGUUUAAGAUCUUUUAUCGUUUCUUAGCGGUCGAAACACACGAGUUGUUCUUUGUUUAGGCUCGAGAUAAUUACUUGUACAAUGACGGCGUUCACAAGGACGACAUCUGCUACUUCCCUACAAACCCCCUAAAAAGUCAAUCAGACCUUGGCCACGUGAUUCGGAUAGCGAUAACUCGUCAGUCAACCAAGGAACUACAAGAACCUACAUGUCACGUACCUCAUUGUAAAACCACGUACAUAUCAAUUGUACGAUCAUGAGGGAGGCAAGCCUUAAUGAACAGAACCUUUACCUACAUAGAUCUGCAUAAAAUCGAGAUCUAUGUAGGUAAAGACACUGUUCAUUAAGGCUUACCUCCCUCAUGUACAAUACAUUACAUCCCUUGAGAUCAAUUGGAGGUGGGGACUCUAGUGUUCGUUCCCGCUCCCCUAGGAGGACUCUAGCCUUUUUC
rnacentral:rRNA from 1 species